AUGGGUACACCAGAGGGUCCAUGCCAGGGUACCCAGAGCUACCCAAGUGGGAGGGCGACUAGCGUCGGGGAGUCUAAAGACCUCCCCAAACUAGUCCGGGAGGUUGUCGUGGCACCAAUCGCCGCCAACCACCUCCCGGAAGCAACUCCAGAGGAACUACACUACAGGGCACCGGAAGAAGAUAUGGUUACAGUCUUCCGGUACCAAACAAAUGGGGCAGAGGCCAUCCCCAGGGCCAUUGCAUUUUCGGACCUCCAUGCCCGAAGGGAGGCGGCCUCGGACCCAUUGCCAGAGAAAUAUGCGGAUUUUUAA
rnacentral:rRNA from 1 species